ensembl:lncRNA
CGGGGGGGGAUUGGGAGAGGGAAGUAACUAGUUUCGAAGGCAACUGAAGAGAGAAAAUAUCGUUUUAUUUUGAUAGUGUAAUGACAGGCAGAGUGAGUGCUUUUUGGAGAACUGAUGAAGAUACGUUUCCAGCGAGUCAAUUUUUUUUUUUUUUUUUUUUUUUUUUUAAAAAGUGAGGGUUUCAGCCCGUCACGUCACGUCGUCGAGCGGCAACGGAGAAGGAGACCCGAGCGCUUCGUCCUCCCCGCUACGCGCCAAGUUCCUCGGGUCUCGGGAAUUCUCGCGCGCUCCUGGAGCGCGACUGGACGAUCCGGAAUUUCCCGGUUGUUGCGUGGACAGCGGACGAGGUACAACAGCAGGGACUCUACCAGGGGCUAGAAGCAGCAACCUCCAGAUUACAGCAAUACAGUAUCUAUAUCCAUCUCCAAUACUGUUGGGGGCUUCUGAAGGAAGGAUGUAAAAAGCCCAACACGUCGGCUGAGUGAAUGCUUAACAUCCUCUUCGUGAACUUUGGACAUUGGUAGACAGCCCUUUCCCUGACACCCAUCUCCUUCCCACCACCCCCGUGCUGUCAUCAUUAUUAGUUCUGCUCACUCCCAGCAUCUUCAGAACCAGCUCUUGGGCCUAUCGUCCCCCACAACGAGUGGGUUCCAGUGGUCUGUCAUAAUGAGGUAUAAACUUAAAAGCCGGGCCCAUACCCUACAACCCAUACUUCCACAUCCCGGGGUGACUUUUUAGGGCCUGGAUGGCCACCCGUACAACUGACGACGAUGAUGAAGAGUCGCUCCUCAUUACUCCGUCUUUUUAGAGUCAGUGAAACCUUUCAUCUGCCUCCAACAAUCUGCAUCCACAUUAUUUGAAAGCCGCUAAAAACAUUCCGUGACAAAAAAUGUGUUCAUUUUUUCAGUGAUGCAUUUAAUAUUCCAUCUCAACUGAUUUAAAAAAAAUCAUUCUGAUAUUGUGUCUCUGGUUAAUGCCUAUUAUUACAAAACGCCUCAUUACCUUCCUCAUAGCAUAAAGUGAAUUGUUAAUGCUGGCUUAUUUCCGCAGACGUACCAACCAAAACAGUCAAAAUAUAUGUAAAAUAUUGCUGUUUUUCUGAUACGUAUUCCUGAUGAUUGGUUUGACUGGCAGCAGAUUUAAAAGGCAUGGACGAAACUGUGUCGAGGUGUCGAAUAGAAAUCUUGCUACGCUUUCAUAUAUUUAUAAUGAGAUUCAGCUUUUGAACAGCGCACUGUGAGCCAGGAGCAUAUUUGCAGUGUAAUCAAAAGUGGCCUUUUGAUGGGAAUUAGCAUAAUAUACUUCUUUGGCUAAUUCAGUUAGUCAUUUUGACAUGCCAUUGAUCAUUUAAUAACAUCAGUAUUAAGGUGUUGCCAGG